rnacentral:sRNA from 1 species
GCCAGGUGCAGGGGCACACAACUGUAAUUCCAGAUACUUGGAGGCUGAGGCAGGAGGAUUACUUAAAACCAGAAGUUCAAGGGCAGCCUGGGCAACAUAAUAAGACCCUGUUUCUA